GCCUCUCCCGUGCCCCGCCGCGUUCCCACUCCCGGCCAAAAGCCAGCCAGGCCCUUCCUACCUUUUCUCCGGAGCCGUUCCUGCCCCAGCCUUGGAGGGACUCCCCACUAGGCCCCGCCGCGCUCAGGGCGACGCGGUGCCGGGCCCCGCCUGUCCCGACGUGGUCCGGCCCAGCCCGCGCACCCUGGAGUCUGGGCCCCGCCAGGCCCGCCACACCCAGCGCCCGGCGCGCCCUCCCUGCAGGCCUCGGCCCGCCCCCCGCCUCGAGCGUCCGCGGCUCUGCCUCCCCGUGGCGCCGGCCGUCGGGCCCGCCUCCGAAGACGUGGAGCGCCGCUGCGGCCGCACAUUUGUAAAAGAUGAAAGUGACCUUAUCAGCUUUGGAUACUUGUGAGAGUUCCUUCACGCCUUUGGUGGUCCUAGAACUUGCUCAGGAUGUCAAAGAAGAAACCAAAGAAUGGCUGAAAAACAGAAUUAUCUCUAAAAAGGAAGAUGGAGGUGCCCAGCUGCUGUUUAGACCAUUGUUAAAUAAAUAUGAGAAAGAAACACUAGAAAAUCAGAACUUAUAUCUUGUCGGUGCCUCCAAGAUUACAUUGUUACUGGGUGCGGAAGCAAUGGGUCUGGUAAAAGAGUGUAAUGAUAACACUAUGAGAGCCUUCACAUAUGGAACCCGAUAUAACUUCAAAGAUUUUGAUGAUGACAAUGAUGACUUCCUCACGAUGGCAGAAUGUCAAUUCAUUAUCAAACAUGAACUCGAAAAUCUUAGAGCCAGAGAUGAAAAGAUGAUCCCUGGUUACCCCCAGGCAAAGCUGUAUCCAGGAAAGUCGUUAUUGAGAAGAUUGCUCACCUCUGGCAUCGUGAUUCAGGUGUUCCCGCUGCAUGAUAAUGAAGCCUUGAAGAAACUGGAGGACGCCUGGUACACUCGCUUUAGUCUCAAGUAUCAGCCCAUAGACCAUAUUCGUGGCUACUUUGGGGAAACAAUUGCUCUUUACUUUGGAUUUUUGGAAUAUUUCACUGUUGCCUUAAUCCCCAUGGCGGUCAUUGGGUUACCUUACUACUUAUUUGUGUGGGAAGACUAUGACAAGUACGUGAUCUUCGCCUCCUUCAACCUCAUCUGGUCCACAGUGAUCCUGGAAGUGUGGAAGCGUGGCUGUGCCAAUAUGACCUACAGGUGGGGGACACUUGUCAUGAAGAGACAGUUUGAGGAGCCCCGGCCAGGAUUCCAUGGGGUCCUGGGUAUCAAUCCCGUCACCGGCAGGAAGGAACCUCUGUACCCCAGCUACAAGAGGCAGUUGCGCAUUUACCUGGUCUCUCUGCCGUUUGUGUGCCUCUGCCUCUAUUUCUCUCUGUAUGUCAUGAUGAUUUACUUUGACAUGGAGGCCUGGGCCUUGAGUCUGCACGAGAAUAGUGGAUCCGAGUGGACCAGUGUCCUGUUGUAUGUGCCCAGCAUCAUCUAUGCCAUUGUGAUUGAGAUCAUGAACCGCCUCUAUCGAUACGCUGCUGAGUUCCUAACUUCGUGGGAGAAUCACAGAUUGGAAUCUGCCUACCAGAAUCAUCUAAUUCUGAAAGUUUUAGUGUUCAACUUUCUGAAUUGCUUUGCCUCCCUCUUCUACAUCGCCUUUGUCUUGAGGGAUAUGAAGCUGUUGCGUCAGAGUCUGGCCACUCUCCUGAUUACCUCCCAGAUCCUUAACCAAAUUAUGGAGUCUCUUCUUCCUUACUGGCUCCAAAGGAAGCACCACGUGCAGGUGAAGAGGAAGGUGCAGGCUUUGAAAGCGGACAUCGAUGCUACAUUGUACGAACAGGUUGUCCUGGAGAAAGAAAUGGGAACCUAUCUGGGUACCUUUGAUGAUUACUUGGAGUUAUUUCUUCAGUUCGGUUAUGUGAGCCUUUUCUCCUGCGUCUACCCAUUAGCAGCUGCCUUUGCUGUGUUAAAUAACUUCACUGAAGUUAAUUCGGAUGCCUUAAAAAUGUGCAGGGUCUUGAAACGUCCAUUCUCAGAACCUUCAGCCAAUAUUGGUGUCUGGCAGUUGGCUUUUGAAACAAUGAGUGUUAUAUCUGUGGUCACUAACUGUGCUCUAAUUGGAAUGUCACCACAAGUGAAUGCCCUCUUUCCAGAGUCAAAAUUGGACCUCGUUUUGAUUGUGGUAGCCGUGGAGCAUGCACUCCUGGCUUUAAAGUUUGUACUUGCGUUUGCCAUACCUGAUAAACCACGGCAUAUCCAGAUGAAACUGGCCCGAUUGGAAUUUGAGUCUUUGGAGGCACUCAAGCAGCAGAUAACAGAAUUCUCUGCUGAGUGCAAUGUAGAACUUGACCACCGGGAGACAAAAGACUCCUUUUUAAUACUCCACCCUUGGAAAUGGAUGGGUUUCAUACGCCACCCUUGGAGGCCUUGCAAAAGAGAAGGAACUGCCUGCUUUGGACAUUUACCUACUUUCUGGCCGUGAGCUGUCUCAGAUCCCACCCCACCCCCCACCACCCCCACCACCCCACCCUGCCCAAGCUCUGUGGUUCCUUCAAAACGGUUACUCUCCAGCUGUAUUUUAACCCAAAACAGGUCAUUUUGAAAUGCGAGUCAACCAGAACUCAUCUGGACUUCAAGUGGAUUUCUGGAAAUGAAAACUGGGGUCACCUCCCCGGGCAGUGGGCUGCUUUCAGAAAUUACAGCGGGGCUCCGCUGGGUACCUGCUCCUUCAGUGGCGACAUUCACGUGUAGUGGGCUUGAAAUAAAGGAGAGCUUAGAGUUUCGAGAUCAACAUGGUAGGACAGAGCUGCAGGGUAGGAUUCUGUAGAAUCUGUGUGCGUAGGUCAGUCACUAUUUCUUUUCUUCCGCCCCCCCCCCCCCCCCCACUCCUCAUCUCUGUCUCUUCUUCUUUUUUCCUGGGUUUCAAGAAAGGAAAAGGCCUACGUGCCCAGAGUGGCCAUUCUUUGAAUUUUAUGUUAUCCAUACGCCGCCCUCCUUUUAACCUUCAUUCUUCAUGUUUGGGUUACUAUUUGCGUGCACGCUCGCGCUCUCUCUCUCUCCCCCUCUCUCUCCGCUUCAUUUCCUUUUAGCAAACUAUCCUGCUUUCUCUCCUGUGGAUCGUUGCAGAUGCUCAUUCAUGCACCCCUGGUCUCAACCCCUCCCCCGGGAUGGCCACAGACUCGUGGCCUGUGCUCUUGGCCAGCAUUCCUGCUUGGGAAGCUGUGUGUCAAGGAUAAGGGUGACAGCCCUUGUGAAGACUGCCCUCUCUUAGUGGGGGGCUUGGGGUUGAGGGGCUCAUCUCCUCUCCGAGUGGCCCGUGCUGGCCAGGCGUUGGUGGGGGAGCCCCUCCAGUGCGGCUGACCCCUGCGGGGCCUGGGAGAUAUGCGGGCUGCUUUCCUUGUAAGAGCAGAGGUUGGGAUGGACCUCAUUCAGAUCCCGCUGUCAGAGAUGCAGCCCGACGCCAACUUAACUCGCUGUCCCCUGAAGAAAACGGCCCGCCCCUUCGAUGGUCCUAAUUAACUCGCCUCUGAACGUUGCCAUACCAGAUGGCAAACGAGGGGCUGUCUCACCUGGAACCAAGAAGUGCAUGCGUCCUAGGGAGGAGAACACUCUCUGUCCCUCCUCUCCAGAAGCCUCUCUCCAGGCUUGGGCUGAGGAAAGUGCAAAGUAGGGUGGGAGAAACAGGAAACAAAAGGCUGAACAUUCGAGAGCUCUAACAGAAGCUGCCUCCUGCCACAUCCUGAGUGCAGCUUUGUUCGUGGCCCUGCCAUAGUAGAGCUUUGGCUUGCGAUCAUAGUGCACAUAAUUUUCGUUGUUUCAACAAGGCAGGGAAUAAAGACAAUUGUUUGCCA